rnacentral:rRNA from 1 species
AUUGAACGCUGGCGGCAGGCCUAACACAUGCAAGUCGAACGGUAACAGGAAGAAGCUUGCUUCUUUGCUGACGAGUGGCGGACGGGUGAGUAAUGUCUGGGAUACUGCCUGAUGGAGGGGGAUAACUACUGGAAACGGUAGCUAAUACCGCAUAACGUCGCAAGACCAAAGAGGGGGACCUUCGGGCCUCUUGCCAUCGGAUGUGCCCAGAUGGGAUUAGCUAGUAGGUGGGGUAACGGCUCACCUAGGCGACGAUCCCUAGCUGGUCUGAGAGGAUGACCAGCCACACUGGAACUGAGACACGGUCCAGACUCCUACGGGAGGCAGCAGUGGGGAAUAUUGCACAAUGGGCGCAAGCCUGAUGCAGCCAUGCCGCGUGUAUGAAGAAGGCCUUCGGGUUGUAAAGUACUUUCAGCGGGGAGGAAGGGAGUAAAGUUAAUACCUUUGCUCAUUGACGUUACCCGCAGAAGAAGCACCGGCUAACUCCGUG